GCCAGAUGGAAUAAGAUCAGCUGGUAGAGCAUGAGACUCCUAAUCCCAGGGUAAUGGAUUCGAGCCCCACAUUGGGCA